CGUAAAGAGUGGUUUGGGACACACCCAAAAUAAAGCCGAAGAUCUCCCAAGCCGUCACACGCACCCCGGAGACACGAAGCCCUAAUACGAAGGUAGCUUUACAAACACCCCGACGCCACGAAAGCUAAGAAACAAACUGGGAUUAGAUACCCCACUAUG
rnacentral:rRNA from 1 species